rnacentral:rRNA from 1 species
UGGGGAAUAUUGCACAAUGGGCGCAAGCCUGAUGCAGCGACGCCGCGUGAGGGAUGGAGGCCUUCGGGUUGUAAACCUCUUUUAUCGGGGAGCAAGCGAGAGUGAGUUUACCCGUUGAAUAAGCA